AUGAUGUUCCCCAGCCUCAUCGCUCCGCCGGCCGUCUACCCGAGCCUGCUGCGGCCCACUCCCACCCUCACCUUGCCGCAGUCGCUGCAGUCCGCCUUCUCCAGCCACUCCAGCUUCCUGGUGGAGGACCUGAUCCGGAUCAGCCGGCCCGGCGCCUACCCUCCCCGCAGCGCUCCCCCGCCCAGCAGCAUGUCACCCCCGGCCUCGGCACCCAGGACGGACUCGGGGACACCGGAGCUGCCCGGUUGCACGGCGGCCAGGAGGAUCUGCUCGCCCCAAAGCUCCGGCAGUGACUCCACUUUCCUCAAGUUCGGGGUCAACGCCAUUCUGUCCUCCGCCCCCCGCGCCGAGUCCUCUCCUGCUCUGCUUCAAAGCGUCCCUCCAAAGACUUUCUCCUUUCCGUACUUUGAAGGAUCCUUCCAGCCUUUCAUCAGAUCUUCCUAUUUUCCAGCUGCCUCUGCCGUCGUGCCCAUCCCUGGCACCUUCUCCUGGCCGCUGGCCGCCCGCGGUAAGCCGCGCCGUGGCAUGCUGCGCCGCGCCGUCUUCUCCGAUGUGCAGCGCAAGGCACUGGAGAAGAUGUUCCAGAAGCAGAAAUACAUCAGCAAGCCCGACAGGAAGAAGCUGGCGGCCAAGCUGGGUCUCAAGGAUUCACAGGUGAAGAUCUGGUUCCAGAACAGAAGAAUGAAGUGGAGGAACUCCAAAGAAAGAGAGCUCCUCUCCUCUGGUGGCUGCAGAGAGCAAACCCUACCCACCAAGUUCAACCCCCACCCAGACCUCAGCGACGUUGGCAAGAAGUGCUCAGGGGAGGAGGAGGAAGAGGAGGAAGGCCCCAUGGCAUGCCCCCCCAGCCCCCGGCACCCGCUGCCCUACCACCCAGCCCCGCAGCACCUGCGGGACAGGCUGGGUCCCCAGACACCUCCCUCUCCAUCCCACUCCAGCAGCCCCAGCAAACCCUCAGACUGCUCGGACUCAGAGGAAGAGGAUGAGGAAGGGGAGGAAGAAGAAGAAGAGAUAACGGUCUCUUAGGUUGCCCACCUGCUCCUACCGUCACAUGGGAACAUUGCGAAGGUGUACAUAACAGAGGGCUAUAAAUUGAAGAGGUGAUGUCCCACCUGCAUGUCCACGUGCUUCUCCAGGGCAGUUUCCCUAUCACAUGGCCAUAAGCAUUCCUGCUCCAGGUAUUCCUGAUUUUUCUGUCCCACGAGAAGGCUUUCACACCCACGGUGUCUGUUGACCUCUUCAAAGCCAUUCCUCUCUGCUUAACAACCAAUAUUUGCUCAAUUAGCUGCAUCAGCCUGAAAGCAAGGAGCAGACAGUUCCUUCCUUUAUAGCAGGGAAAUAUUUUUUCCAGAGACAAAACACCACCAAUGCCAACAAAUUGCAGUUGCUGUGGCCAUUUUCCCACCUUCCAACUGAAUUCCCAGCUACUACCAAGAGUUCAGAACCUGAGGAUUGCUGUGAUCUGGUGAUCGUCUCAUCCCAGGGCAAAGGAUGUCCAUGAGAUGUGCAGACAAACCACUGCCCCCUCCUCACCCUCACCCUGCCACAGACCCACGGGAACCACCACAAUCGCCUUCAGGCCUGUGCUUGCUUUCCGCUUGGCUUCUGCUAUGUGCUGUGGACAGAGGAAAGGGGAUAUGCCUCUUUGGUUUUGACUGAACUUUGCUGUCUUUGCACAGCUUAUAUGAACUGUACGCUAUUUUGUACACUUACUCUGUAUGGA